GAUAGGUCUCUGUCGCUACCGUGAUUGGACACUGACGGAGAGUCAACUAGCCUUGUUCGGGCGGUUCUUCGCAGGGGGAACCGGGGCGGUCCGAGCCACGAGGGGGGAGGCUCGGACCGCCCGAA
rfam:Streptomyces atratus strain OK807 genome assembly, contig: Ga0007934_1022